rnacentral:tRNA from 1 species
UCAGAUUAAACUUAAAGUUAAGAUUUUCAUUUACACUGAAAUUAUUAGUCGUGCAAUUCGAUAUAAUCUGAA